UUUGGAACACUGGUGAUGC
rnacentral:siRNA from 1 species